rnacentral:rRNA from 1 species
GACGAACGCUGGCGGCGUGCUUAACACAUGCAAGUCGAGCGGUAAGGCCCUUUCGGGGGUACACGAGCGGCGAACGGGUGAGUAACACGUGGGUGACCUGCCCUUAGCUCUGGGAUAAGCCUGGGAAACUGGGUCUAAUACCGGAUAUGACUCCAUGACGCAUGUUGUGGGGUGGAAAGCCUUGUGCGGCUAGGGAUGGGCCCGCGGCCUAUCAGCUUGUUGGUGGGGUGAUGGCCUACCAAGGCGACGACGGGUAGCCGGCCUGAGAGGGCGACCGGCCACACUGGGACUGAGACACGGCCCCAGACUCCUACGGGAGGCAGCAGUGGGGAAUCUUGCGCAAUGGACGAAAGUCUGACGCAGCGACGCCGCGUGUGGGAUGACGGUCUUCGGAUU